UCGCCUGUUUAUCAAAAACAUCGCCUCUUGCAACUCACAUAUAAGAGGUAACGCCUGCCCAGUGACCAUGUGUUCAACGGCCGCGGUAUUCUGACCGUGCAAAGGUAGCGUAAUCACUUGUCUUUUAAAUAAAGACCAGUAUGAAUGGCAUCACGAGAGUUCAACUGUCUCCCACACCCAAUCAGUGAAACUGAUCUCCCCGUGCAGAGGCGGGGAUAAAACCAUAAGACGAGAAGACCCCAUGGAGCUUUAAACUAAAGGCACUAGCUUCUUAUUAAUACCCAAGGACAAAAUAUUUAACCAGCUAAAGUGACCUGUCGUUUUCGGUUGGGGCGACCACGGAGAAAAGCAAAUCCUCCGAACUGAAAGGGGCAACCCUUAGCCAAGACUCACAACUCUAAGCAAUAGAACAUCUAACACACCGAUCCAAUCAAAUUGAUCAACGAACCAAGUUACCCUGGGGAUAACAGCGCAAUCUAUUUUCAGAGUUCAUAUCGACAAAUAGGUUUACGACCUCGAUGUUGGAUCAGGGCCUCCUAGCGGUGCAGCCGCUGCUAAGGGUUCGUUUGUUCAACGAUUAAAGCCCUACGUGAUCUGAGUUCAGACCGGA
rnacentral:rRNA from 1 species